GACAGAGGGUGCAAACGUUGCUCGGAAUUACUGGGCGUAAAGCGCGUGUAGGCGGGCCGAUAAGUCAGACGUGAAAUCCCUGAGCUCAACUCAGGAACUGCAUCUGAAACUGCCGGUCUAGAGUGGUGGAGAGGGAAGCGGAAUUCCUGAUGUAGAGGUGAAAUUCGUAGAUAUCAGGAGGAACACCGGUGGCGAAGGCGGCUCACUGGCUCGGUACUGACGCUGAGGUGCGAAAGCGUGGGGAGCAAACAGG
rnacentral:rRNA from 1 species